AACGAACGCUGGCGGCAUGCCUAACACAUGCAAGUCGAACGAGACCUUCGGGUCUAGUGGCGCACGGGUGCGUAACGCGUGGGAAUCUGCCCUUGGGUUCGGAAUAACAGUUGGAAACGACUGCUAAUACCGGAUGAUGACGUAAGUCCAAAGAUUUAUCGCCCAAGGAUGAGCCCGCGUAGGAUUAGCUAGUUGGUGAGGUAAAGGCUCACCAAGGCGACGAUCCUUAGCUGGUCUGAGAGGAUGAUCAGCCACACUGGGACUGAGACACGGCCCAGACUCCUACGGGAGGCAGCAGUGGGGAAUAUUGGACAAUGGGCGAAAGCCUGAUCCAGCAGUGCCGCGUGAGUGAUGAAGGCCUUAGGGUUGUAAAGCUCUUUUACCCGGGAUGAUAAUGACAGUACCGGGAGAAUAAGCUCCGGCUAACUCCGUG
rnacentral:rRNA from 1 species